CGGGGCGUAGCGCAGCCUGGUAGCGCACUUGAAUGGGGUUCAAGAGGUCGCCCGUUCGAAUCGGGCCGCCCCGACCA
rnacentral:tRNA from 1 species